AACUAUUUAAACACGCAAUUCGACUUGGUUUUACACUUUUUUUUUAACUCUUUUGACGCAGUUCAGGUGAGUCUCGAGAAGAAAUAAUGAAUUUCUUAUCAAAAAUUUUCUUCAUCUUCUCUAUAUUGGCUUUCAUGGCAGUAGCUCAAGGAGAGGUUCACAAAGUCAGGAGGAGAGUUCAUCACCAUAAAGGUACAAAAGGUAUAGUCCCAGCUGCACUAAGUGGAGCUGGCAGGGCUGCUACAAACGGAAUCGGAAUUGCCGGAAAAGUACUAGAUGGUGUUGGCAAUCUUUUGUAAUGAGAUUAAUGGAAGGAUAAAACAUUGUUUCAAUAAAGAAAAAAACUCUUAAAA